GAUGAACGCUGGCGGCGUGCCUAAUACAUGCAAGUCGAACGAGCUCUUCGGAGCUAGUGGCGGACGGGUGAGUAACACGUUGGUACCUACCCCUAAGUGGGGAAUAACUGCCCGAAAGGGUGGCUAAUACCGCAUAAUCCCGCAAGGGUAAAGCAGUAAUGCGCUUAGGGAGGGGCCUGCGUCCCAUUAGCAUGUUGGUAGUGUAAUGGACUACCAAGGCGACGAUGGGUAGCUGGAUCGAGAGGUUGACCAGCCACACUGGGACUGAGAUACGGCCCAGACUCCUACGGGAGGCAGCAGUAAGGAAUCUUCCACAAUGGACGAAAGUCUGAUGGAGCAACGCCGCGUGCAGGAUGACGGCCUUCGGGUUGUAAACUGCUUUUAUAUGGGAAGAUUAUGACGGUACCAUAUGAAUAAGGACCGGCUAACUACGUGCCAGCCGCCGCAGUAA
rnacentral:rRNA from 1 species